GACGAACGCUGGCGGCGUGCUUAACACAUGCAAGUCGAACGGAGGUUAUAGCAAUGUAACCUUAGUGACGGACGGGUGAGUAACGCGUGGGCAACCUACCUUUAACCGGGGGAUAACACAGGGAAACUUGUGCUAAUACCGCAUAACAUACCGAGGUGGCAUCACCAUGGUAUCAAAGGAGAAAUCCGGUAGGAGAUGGGGCCCGCGUCCGAUUAGCUAGUUGGAGGUGUAACGGACCACCAAGGCGACGAUCGGUAGCCGAACUGAGAGGUUGAUCGGCCACAUUGGGACUGAGACACGGCCCAGACUCCUACGGGUGGCAG
rnacentral:rRNA from 1 species